AUUGAACGCUGGCGGCAUGCCUUACACAUGCAAGUCGAACGGUAACGCGGGGCAACCUGGCGACGAGUGGCGAACGGGUGAGUAAUGCAUCGGAACGUGCCCAGUAGUGGGGGAUAGCCCGGCGAAAGCCGGAUUAAUACCGCAUACGACCUACGGGUGAAAGCGGGGGACCGUAAGGCCUCGCGCUAUUGGAGCGGUCGAUGUCAGAUUAGGUUGUGGGUGGGGUAAAAGCGUACCAAGCCGACGAUCUGUAGCUGGUCUGAGAGGACGACCAGCCACACUGGGACUGAGACACGGCCCAGACUCCUACGGGAGGCAGCAGUGGGGAAUUUUGGACAAUGGGGGCAACCCUGAUCCAGCCAUGCCGCGUGCGGGAAGAAGGCCUUCGGGUUGUAAACCGCUUUUGUCAGGGAAGAAACGCUCUGGGCUAAUACCCCGGGGUAAUGACGGUACCUGAAGAAUAAGCACCGGCUAACUACGUGCCAGCCGCCGCCGUAAAAC
rnacentral:rRNA from 1 species